GGGAGGAAGCCGAAGUACGGCGGCUGAAAGUUCAGUUGGUCCACGAGCAGCAGGCAGUCAAGGACGCCGAGGCGGAGUCCAAGGUCUUGAGGAGGCUUCGAGAGUCGGAGGAUGAGCGCCGGCGAUUCCACCGGGCGUUCCAGGAUAUGCUGCUGAAAAAGAUGGAGCUAGAAGAAGAAAUCGAAAAUUUGAGACAAUCCAUAGCGGGGGCUAGAACCGAGAGCUCGAAAUCGGAAGAAACAGGGCUUCCUUAGAGCCUCUUUUCCUUUUCUUCUUCUUAAUCUUUUUGUUUUUUGGUCUUUAAGGCUUUGUAAUGAGUACUUCAUCAAUGAAAUAGAAAUGAAAUUAUCUGUUACCUUGUCCAUUCUGGUAUUAAAUGGUUGUUUACCAAACUCCAUUUGUCUUAUGCCUUGUUUUGCAUCGGUGUAGUUCGUAAUCCCUCGCCGGUUCUUGCUUUGAGUCGUCGUUUGCUGAACUUCUUUUGUCUUCCGUCUUGCCCGAUACCGACGUAGUUUGAAGGUUCCUUGUCGUUGCCGUAUCGAUUUGCCUUUAGAGACCCGAGAUUUUCGACAGGUGUUUUCUCUUUCGUCGAGACAAGGUCCCUUGUGCUUUCGAUGUAGUUCGUUUUUUACCUAUCGCUGAUGUGGUUCGUCGUUUUUU
rnacentral:lncRNA from 1 species